GAAGACUCGUCGCAAGGACAGGACUCUACACGAGAGGACUCAAAAGGUAGGUAAUCAACACAAGUUGAAGACACUUCACAAGGACAGGACUCGACAUAAGGAGAGGACUCGACAGGUAGGUAAUCAACAAGUAGAAGAAUCGUCGCAAGGACAGGAAUCGACACAAGGAGUAGACUCGACACGAGUGGACUCGACAGGUAGGUAAUCGACACAAGGAGAAGACUGCACAAGGAGAUGACUUGACACGAGUGGACUCGGCAGGUAGGUAAUCGACACAUGUAGAAGACUCUUCACAAGGACAGGACUCGUCAGAUAGGUAAUCUACGCAAGGAGAAGACUCUACGCAAGGAGAAGACUCUACGCAAGGAGAAGACUCUACGCAAGGAGAAGACUCUACGCAAGGAGAAGACUUGACAGGUAGGUAAUCGACACAAGAAGAAGACUCUUCACAAGGACAGGACUCGACAUAAGGAGAGGACUCGACAGGUAGGUAAUCGACACGAAGAAGACUCGUCACAAGGACAGGAAUCGACACAAGGAGAGGACUCGACAGGUAGGUCAUCGACACAAGGAAAAGACUACACAAGGAGAUGACUCAAUGCAAGUAGAAGACUCUUCGCAAGGACAGGACUUGACACAAGGAGAAGACUCGUCGCAAGGACAGGACUCGUCACAAGGAGAGGAUUCGACCGGUAGGUAAUUGACACAUGGAGAAGACUCGUCGCAAGGACAGGAAUCGACACAAGGAGAGGACUCGACACGAGAGGACUCGAAAGGUAGGUAAUCGACACAAGAAGACUCGUCACAAGGAGGACUCGACAGGUAGGUAAUAGACACAAGGAGAAGACUCUAGGCAAGGAGAAGACUCUACACAAGGACAGGACUCGACAGGUAGGUAAUCGACACAAGAAGACUCUUCACAACGACAGGACUCGACGUAAGGAGAGGACUUGACAGGUAGGUAAUCGACACAAGAAGACUCGUCACAAGGAGGACUCGACAGGUAGGUAAUAGACACAAGGAAAAGACUCGACGCAAGGAGAAGACUCUACACAAGGACAGGACUCGACAGGUAGGUAAUCGACACAAGAAGACUCUUCACAACGACAGGACUCGACAUAAGGAGAGGACUCGACAGGUAGGUAAUCGACACAAGUAGAAGACUCUUCACAAGGAGAGGACUCGUCACAAGGAGGACUCGACAGGUAGGUAAUAGACACAAGGAGAAGACUCAACGCAAGGAGAAGACUCUACGCAAGGAGAAGACUAUGCAAGGAGAAGACUUGACAGGUAGGUAAUCGACACAAGAAGAAGAAUCGUCGCAAGGACAGGACUCGUCACAAGGAGAGGACUCGACAGGUAGGUAAUAGACACAAGGAGAAGACUCGACGCAAGGAGAAGACUCUACGCAAGGAGAAGACUCGUCGAAAGCACAGGCCUCAAAAGAUAGGUAAUCGACACAAGGAGAAGACUCGUCGCAAGGAGAAGACUCGUCGCAAGCAGAAGACUC